GACUAAGCCCCCCAGGCGCCCCUAAAGUGAUUUCACUUAUUUAUUUAUUUGAGAGAGAGUAAGCAGGAGGCAGGGAGAGGCAGAGAAUCCCAAGCAGACUCCAUGCCAGCAUGGAGCCCGACAUGGGACCCCUGAGGCUGGAGAGACUCCAUGGAAAGAAUGAAACAGUUGUCAGAAGGAGACUGGCAAAGAUGAUGCAGAGGUCUCGUCCUGGUCCAGCCUCAUCCUCACCAGCCUGUACCAGCAGUGGAAUCGCCUCUGUCCUGAUCCCACUCUCCGCCGCCACGGCGUCCAUCCUCCCUGCAGCAGCAGCAGCCACCAGAGGGCGCCUGCGGGCCUCGGAGUCUGGUUCCACCCUUCUGUGUCCACAGCCCUCCAGGGCUCCCACCUCCUUGGGUGAAAGCCAAACCCUCCCUGAGGCUUCCAAGACCCUACAGGACCUGCCUGGGCCCCUCCCUGCCGUCCCCUCCUAUUUCUCUCCCCCUUGUUCACUGUGCUCCACCCACAGGGGCCCCCUCACGCGUUCUCCAACACUCCAGGUCCAGUCCUGCCCCAGGACCUUUGCACUGGCUCUCUCUGCUACUAGAAUGCUCUUCUGGUAGAUAUACUCAUGCCUUGCUUGCUUCCUCAGAGAACCCUUCCCUAAUCCCAAGGAUAGACUGUGUCCAAGGGUAGACUGUAUUUUUAAUUAUUUAUGUUUAUUAUCUGUGUGUUUCCACUAAGAAAGCCAGCCCCUGGGUGCCUGGGUGGCUCAGUCAUUAAGCAUCUGUCUUCGGCUCAGGUCAUGAUCUCAGGGUCCUGGGAUCGAGCCC